AACGGCUGAACCAGCAACUUGGAGGAAUGUAUAGCAAUAGCUACUUGCAUCAUUGUAAUGAUGAUGUAAGAUCGACUAUGUUGAAUAAAAUUCUAGGUAGAAUUAUGAUAAUGACAUUGUCUGCCUAUGUGUCUUGACCAAAUUACGUGCCAGCAGUCGCGGUAAUACGUAGAAGACUAGUGUUAUUCAUGUUUAAUCGGUUUAAAGGGUACCUAGACGGUAAAUCAAGCUUUCACUUUCUUGAAUAAAUAAACAAAUAAAAACAAGAUGAUAUAUGAUAGGAACUAAUUUACUAGAGUUACUUAUGAGGGGGUUUUAAAGUACUGCUGGUGUAGAGAUGAAAUUCUGUAAUACCUCUUUUCAAUAGAAAAAAUGAUGGCACAGGUUUAGGCGAAAGCAUCCCCUUAUGUGAUAACUGACGUUGAGGGACGAAGGCUUUUUGUAGCGAUCAGGAUUAGAGACCCUAGUAGUUGAAGCAGAAAAUGAUGAAUGUCAUAGAUUAGAUAUAUAAGUUUAUUCUAUAAAUGAAAGUGUAAGCAUUCCACCUCAAGAGUAAUUUGGCAACAUUGGAACUGAAAUCAUUAGACCGUUUCUGAAACCAGUAGUGAAGUAUGUUGUUUAAUUUGAUGAUCCGCAUAAAACCUUACCACAAUUUGAAUAUUUAUAUUUUAUUAUUGUUUUUUUUUUAUUUAUCUAAAUAAUAUGAUAACAAGUAUGAUGAAGAUAAUUAAUGAAGAGGCAAUAACAUAUAUUUACAAGCGUUGCACGGCUGUCUUCAGUUAAUGUCGCGAGACUCUGGUUAGUUCCAUUAAAUUAACGUAAACCCUUACUUUAUUUUUAUAUAAAGUAGUUCCCCACUAUAUUGGAUAUGAU
rnacentral:rRNA from 1 species